AGAUAAAAACGUGUUUAUUCUUACCCUCCAAAUAGGCAGAUGUAAUGGCUUCGACCACCCCAAACUGGGAGCUAUGUUUCUGGCAGUAUCCCAAAACCCACGCAAUAUGAAUAUAGUUAACCCAUGAAGACAACAAGCCCCAAGAAAAUAUUAUAAGCUUAAACUUAAUGAAUAAGAAACAUUAAUAAUGCAAUUAAUAAAGGAUCGCCAAUGGUGACAAACCUGACACUUGGCACAAACCAAAACGAGACCAUAGGCAGAAUUGAUUAAUUGAAAAAUACCAAGGAGUGUCCACAGAUCUAGACAUUCUAAAAUAUUAAUAAUUAUGGAAUGAUGUUGAUAUAUUUAUAAAAUAUGAAAUUACCUUCAGUCAUCGAAAUAUUGAAAUCUGAUAAGAGUAGAGACAUAAGCUAAAUAAAACAAUUAAGACGGUAUACACCCAAUUAUAUUUAACUAGAACACACCAAAUAUCCAUUGCAAAUCAAAAACGGGAGAUGCAAAAUUAUCAUGAAACUCUUACACAUCGCACGAAACUUCGACUAACACUUUUCAAACUAAAACCCUAAGGAAACUUUUAUUAAUUGCAAAAGCCUUUCCAAAAUGUCCCAUUAAUAUUAAUAGCUAAGUUAAUAUAUUAAGUGGCACUGUGGGUGGCAGGACACAUAGGUCAUGACAAAAUAUCAAUCGAAAAGUGUGGUUAU
ensembl:ncRNA lncRNA:CR44172 long non-coding RNA:CR44172